rnacentral:rRNA from 1 species
GAUGAACGCUGGCGGCGUGCCUAAUACAUGCAAGUCGAGCGAACGGACGAGAAGCUUGCUUCUCUGAUGUUAGCGGCGGACGGGUGAGUAACACGUGGAUAACCUACCUAUAAGACUGGGAUAACUUCGGGAAACCGGAGCUAAUACCGGAUAAUAUUUUGAACCGCAUGGUUCAAAAGUGAAAGACGGUCUUGCUGUCACUUAUAGAUGGAUCCGCGCUGCAUUAGCUAGUUGGUAAGGUAACGGCUUACCAAGGCAACGAUGCAUAGCCGACCUGAGAGGGUGAUCGGCCACACGGGAACUGAGACACGGUCCAGACUCCUACGGGAGGCAGCAGUAGGAAAUCUGCCGCAAUGGGCGAAAGCCUGACGGAGCAACGCCGCGUGAGUGAUGAAGGUCUUCGGAUCGUAAAACUCUGUUAUUAGGGAAGAACAUAUGUGUAAGUAACUGUGCACAUCUUGACGGUACCUAAUCAGAAAGCCACGGCUAACUACGU